UGAAGGCGAGAGUAAACAAGAAAACACAUAACACACACAUAUUGAAGCUUUAACAAUUUUCACAGAAACUUCAAAAGAGCUUAAACGAGAAUGGGAACAGCUACUUUCAUAGAUAUUCUUCUUGCUAUCCUCUUGCCUCCUCUUGGCGUCUUUCUCAGAUAUGGUUGCGGGGUUGAGUUUUGGAUAUGUUUGGUGUUGACGCUGCUUGGGUAUCUUCCUGGGAUCCUCUACGCCCUUUAUGUCCUCACCAAAUGAUCAUGAACCUCCAUCUAUCCUCUCUUCAUGUAUCCUCAUCUCCUUGAACAACAGGUCUUUAAGAUGACAGCGGAUUCAAGACAAGGCUUGAAUGCGUCGGGUUAGUUUUCAUGACAAAGUCGGACAACCGGAGAAUAGUCAUUCAAGACAAGGUUUAUUCGAUUGUUUAAUUUGUGUUUAUAACUAGAAAUUAUGUUGUCUUGGUGGGUCGCAUAAGACCACCAUGAAAUAUAUGAACCUCACGUUAUAAGAUCUAUGGCCGGUCCUGUACAAAGCCUAAUGAAACAUUCGUUUUAGGCCUCAAAUUUUUUGAAAAAAUUUAUAUGUAAAUAGAUCCUCAAAUUUAAAAAAAAAAAAAAUUUAAGCCCCUAAA